rnacentral:rRNA from 1 species
CAGUNNCGUGAGGGAAAGGCGAAAAGAACCCCUGUGAGGGGAGUGAAAUAGAUCCUGAAACCGUAUGCAUACAAGCUGUGGAAGCACGUUGAUUAAUUCAUGUGUGACCGCGUACCUUUUGUAUAAUGGGUCAGCGACUUACUUGCAGUGGCAAGCUUAACCUAAUGGGGGAGGCGAAGGGAAACCGAGUCUGAUAAGGGCGCCAAGUCUCUGUAAGUAGACCCGAAACCGGGCGAUCUAUCCAUGGCCAGGAUGAAGGUUGGGUAAAACCAAUUGGAGGUCCGAACCCACUGAUGUUGAAAAAUCACGGGAUGAGCUGUGGAUCGGAGUGAAAGGCUAAUCAAGCCCGGAGAUAGCUGGUUCUUCUCGAAAACUAUUGAGGUAGUGCCUUAUGUAUCACACUUGGGGGUAGAGCACUGUUUCGGCUAGGGGGCUGUCAUGGCUUACCAAACCGAUGCAAACUCCGAAUACCAAGUUGUGCAAGCAUAGGAGACACACGGCGGGUGAUAACGUCCGUCGUGGAGAGGGAAACAACCCAGACCGCCAGCUAAGGUCCCUAAAUGACAGUUAAGUGGAAAACGAGGUGGGAUAACUUAAACAGCCAGGAGGUUGGCUUAGAAGCAGCCAUCCUUUAAAGAUAGCGUAAUAGCUCACUGGUCGAGUCGUCCUGCGCGGAAGAUGUAACGGGGCUAAACUGUCUACCGAAGCUGCGGAAUCAAAACUUUGUUUUGAUUGGUAGAGAAGCGUUCUGUAAGCCGUUGAAGCUUGACCGAGAGGACAGGUGGAGGUAUCAGAAGUGAGAAUGCUGACAUGAGUAACGAUAAUGCGAGUGAAAAACUCGCACGCCGAAAGUCUAAGGUUUCCUUGCGCCAUGCUAAUCAGCGCAGGGUGAGUCGGCCCCUAAGGUGAGGCAGAAAUGCGUAAUCGAUGGGAAACAGGUUAAUAUUCCUGUACUUUAAAUGAUUUGUGAUGGGAGGACGGAGAAAGCUAAGUCAGCCAGGUGAUGGUUGUCCUGGUUUAAGCAUGUAGGUGCAGUGCUAUGGAAAAUCCGAGCGCUGAUAUCGCUGAGAUGUGAUGACGACCUCCGCGCAAGCUUGCUUGCNANGCAGNGAAGUGNCNGAUNCUAUGCUUCCANGAAAAGUCUCUAAGCUUNNNAUCAUUGUNNAACCGUACNNNAAACCGACACAGGUNGACAGGUAGAGAAUACUAAGGCGCUUGAGAGAACUCGGGUGAAGGAACUAGGCAAAAUAACACCGUAACUUCGGGAGAAGGUGUACCCUUUUUGGUGAUUACCCUGCGGUAUGAGCUGAGGAGGGUCGCAGUGACCAGGUGGCUGAGACUGUUUAUCAAAAACAUAGCACUCUGCAAACUCGUAAGAGGACGUAUAGGGUGUGACGCCUGCCCGGUGCCGGAAGGUUAAUUGAUGUGGUUAGUCGUAAGACGAAGCUAUUGAUCGAAGCCCCGGUGAACGGCGGCCGUAACAAUAACGGUCCUAAGGUAGCGAAAUUCCUUGUCGGGUAAGUUCCGACCUGCACGAAUGGCGUAACAAUGGCCACGCUGUCUCCACCCGAGACUCAGUGAAAUUGAAUUUGCUGUGAAGAUGCAGUGUACCCGCGGCAAGACGGAAAGACCCCGUGCACCUUUACUACAACUUUGCAUUGAAUACUGAACCUACUUGUGUAGGAUAGGUGGGAGGCUUUGAAGCAUAAGCGCUAGCAUAUGUGGAGCCAUCCUUGAAAUACCACCCUGGUAUGUUUGGCAUUCUAACCUAGAUCCGUUAUCCGGAUUGGGGACAGUGUAUGGUGGGUAGUUUGACUGGGGCGGUCUCCUCCUAAAGAGUAACGGAGGAGC